rnacentral:rRNA from 1 species
AGAGUUUGAUCCUGGCUCAGAACGAACGCUGGCGGCGUGGAUAAGACAUGCAAGUCGAACGAGAUUUUUUCCUGUAGCAAUACAGGGAAAAGUCUAGUGGCGAACGGGUGCGUAACACGUGGGCAAUCUGCCUUAAAGUGGGGGAUAGCUCGGCGAAAGCCGAAUUAAUACCGCAUGUGAUCAGGGGAGACAUCUUCCCGAAAUCAAAAGUGGCGCAAGCUACUGCUUUUUGAGGAGCCCGCGGCCUAUCAGCCAGUUGGUGAGGUGAUGGCUCACCAAGGCUUUGACGGGUAGCUGGUCUGAGAGGACGACCAGUCACACUGGAACUGAGACACGGUCCAGACACCUACGGGUGGCAGCAGUCGAGAAUUUUUCUCAAUGGGGGAAACCCUGAAGGAGCGACGCCGCGUGGAGGAUGAAGGUCUUCGGGUUGUAAACUCCUGUCAUUUGGGAACAAGUGCCGGUACGUAACUGCUACCGGCUUGAUAGUACCAGAAGAGGAAGGGACGGCUAACUCUGUGCCAGCAGCCGCGGUAAUACAGAGGUCCCAAGCGUUGUUCGGAUUCAUUGGGCGUAAAGGGUGUGUAGGUGGCGCCGUAAGUCGGGUGUGAAAUUUCGGAGCUUAACUCCGAAACUGCAUUCGAUACUGCGGUGCUUGAGGACUGGAGAGGAGACUGGAAUUCAUGGUGUAGCAGUGAAAUGCGUAGAGAUCAUGAGGAGACCAGUGGCGAAGCGGGUCUCUGGACAGUUCCUGACACUGAGACACGAAGGCAGGGGAGCAACGGGAUUAGAAUACCCGGUAGUCC